rnacentral:rRNA from 1 species
AGUGGGGAAUAUUGGACAAUGGGGGCAACCCUGAUCCAGCAAUGCCGCGUGUGUGAAGAAGGCCUUCGGGUUGUAAAGCACUUUUGUCCGGAACGAAACGUGUCGGGUGAAUAUCCCGGCAAACUGACGGUACCGGAAGAAUCAGCACCGGCUAACUUCGUGCCAGCAGCCGCGGUAAUACGAAGGGUGCAAGCGUUACUCGGAAUUACUGGGCGUAAAGGGUGCGUAGGUGGUUGCUUAAGUCUGCUGUGAAAUCCCCGGGCUCAACCUGGGAAUUGCAGUGGAUACUGGGCAACUGGAGUGCGGUAGAGGGUAGUGGAAUUCCCGGUGUAGCAGUGAAAUGCGUAGAGAUCGGGAGGAACACCAGUGGCGAAGGCGGCUACCUGGACCAGCACUGACACUGAGGCACGAAAGCGUGGGGAGCAAA